CAGCACUCAACACAAACCAGAAAUUAUACCAAACGAACUGAAACACCUAAUCGUAUAUAAUGGUAAAGAUUAACAGUAACUACAUCAGAAAUUUAAGAUGUCUUAUUCAAAUUUCGACUUGAACUUCUAAAUCUUCAUACAUGCUAGUAAAUACUCAAUUCCAUGACAAGUUUAGACAGUGUACCUGGAGUAAGGAGAAACAAAAGAGAUGAGGAAGCAGUAAUCCGUAGCAAAAGCAGCAACAACACAACCCAGAUUUAGUAAACGAAACCAGAAAAUCGAUUCAAAAUCCAAUGGAACAAUGGUCUUCAACACAGCUUGAUAAAAAAACCUUCCAAAAAAACUAAUAUAAAACCAAUUCAAAUCCCUUUACUGAACACUGUUGUUUGCAGAACUUAAACGAAUCAAGAAUUACUGAAGCAAUGGAAUAGCAGAGGAUAUCUAGCUUUUUUUUUUGUAUUUUUCUGGACUCUAUCUCUUCAGCUCUCUUUCUGUAUCUAUUUCUAUCUGUUUUUCAGUCUGUUCAGCUCUUUUAAAUAGGCAAUUAGCUUAGUGACUUCUCCAUUACCAAUUCACUUUAUCAUUUCUUAAUUGCCCACUGAUUCUGUGUUUUUAAUUAAUUCGGUAAUGCAAUUUCUACCCUACCACUAUUAGAAGUUUCUCAAUUAGCGACCACUUGCAUAAAUCAGUCAAUUAUUAUACACAUUUAACCAAACUCAAGAUAAUCUUUAAUUUAACCGACUAAGUUAUUAGACGAGAUAUGAUUUCCAGAUUCUAAACAAACUGACCACACAAACCUAUGAAACCAAGAACAAAUUCACCAACAUUCUGAAAAACAGAACAACGAAAAGAAGAUAGUUUAUGCCAGAAGAUUGGUCGAGUUUUCAAUUGAAAUCGACCAGAGAAAAGAAAAAGAGAUGAGUAAAGACGGGGUUUAUAUACCAAUUAAACUAUAAAUAUAGAAAAUAGGGCAGAAGAACUCACUGGUCAGUAGUAACUGAAGAAAACCUUCGAAUCUUCAAUUUUUAAACCAAAUUUUCACUUUAAC
rnacentral:lncRNA from 1 species